rnacentral:lncRNA from 1 species
AUGUUGCGAAUACGACAGUAAUACCUACUACAGUAAGUACUUGCUCUGAAAGCGGUUGCGUUGAGUUGCUAUUUGUAAUUGGAUGCAUACAGUCUAGUACAGAAAGUGCAACAACAGUGCCAGACAUACCACUUGGAACAACACCUUCUGAAGUACCUAACGCUAUAACAACAGAUUCAGUGAUCUCAACUAGACCGACAACCGCAACAUCAACAACCCGAGAAACUCAAGAUGGAACAACACAUCCUCAUGUGCCUAGCACUAUAACAACUGAUUCAGUGUUCUCAACUAGACCAGUAGAAUUGUCUUGUAUUGAUAUCAUAGCUUGUAGUGACGAUCGAUGCAACCAAUAUAUUUCCCAAGUUUUCAGUGUUGAAGGCUCCUCUGGAUUAUCAACUACUGUCAUCACAACCGGUAAUGAA